ACUCAAAUGAAUUGACGGGGACCCGCACAAGUGGUGGAGCAUGUGGUUUAAUUCGAAGAUACACGAAGAACCUUACCUGGCCUUGACAUCCCAAGAACUUUCCAGAGAUGGAUUGGUGCUAGCUUGCUAGAACUUGGUGACAGGUGCUGCACGGCUGUCGUCAGCUCGUGUCGUGAGAUGUUGGGUUAAGUCCCGCAACGAGCGCAACCCUCGUCUUUAGUUGCUAACAGUUAGGCUGAGCACUCUAAAGAGACUGCCUCCGUAAGGAGGAGGAAGGUGAGGACGACGUCAAGUCAUCAUGGCCCUUACGGCCAGGGCUACACACGUGCUACAAUGGGGCGUACAGAGAGCUGCAAUACCGCGAGGUGGAGCCAAUCUCUUAAAGCGUCUCUCAGUUCGGAUUGUUCUCUGCAACUCGAGAACAUGAAGCUGGAAUCACUAGUAAUCGCAGAUCAGCUAUGCUGCGGUGAAUACGUUCCCGGGUCUUGCACACACCGCCCGU
rnacentral:rRNA from 1 species